rnacentral:rRNA from 1 species
AGCAGCCGCGGUAAUUCCAGCUCCAAUAGCGUAUAUUAAAGUUGUUGCAGUUAAAAAGCUCGUAGUUGAAUUUCGGGAUUGACGUGAUGGUCAUGCCUUAAGGGGUAUGAACUGUUACAGUUGAUUUCUCACCUUCUGGAGAAACUUGAUGUCCUUUAUUGGGUGUCUUGCGGAUCCAGGACCUUUACCUUGAAAAAAUUAGAGUGUUUAAAGCAGGCAUUUUUGCUCGAAUACAUUAGCAUGGAAUAAUAGAAUAGGACGGCAUGGUUCUAUUUUGUUGGUUUCUAGGAUCACCGUAAUGAUUAAUAGGGAUAGUUGGGGGCAUUAGUAUUCAAUUGUCAGAGGUGAAAUUCUUGGAUUUAUUGAAGACUAACUACUGCGAAAGCAUUUGCCAAGGAUGUUUUCAUUAAUCAAGAACGAAAGUUAGGGGAUCGAAGACGAUCAGAUACCGUCGUAGUCUUAACCAUAAACUAUGCCGACUAGGAAUCAGACGAUGUUAAUUUUUUAAUUAGUACUACGU